UACAGGGGGGGCAAGCGUUGUUCGGAAUUACUGGGCGUAAAGGGUCUGUAGGUGGCCAACUAAGUCAGACGUGAAAUCCCUCAGCUUAACUGGGGAACUGCGUCUGAUACUGGAUGGCUCGAGUGUGGGAGAGGAAUGCGGAAUUCCAGGUGUAGCGGUGAAAUGCGUAGAUAUCUGGAGGAACACCGGUGGCGAAGGCGGCAUUCUGGACCACAACUGACACUGAGAGACGGAAGCUAGGGGAGCGAAUGGG
rnacentral:rRNA from 1 species